rnacentral:lncRNA from 1 species
GGUAAGGUUGUUGUUGGAAGCCUAGAGGGGUUGUGCUCUCUGAUUUCCUUGACCACCCAAAGAGAAAUUGAGAUGGUUCCUCCAACCUGCAUUAUAGGUGUUACUAUAAGGGUUAUUUUGAGGCUUAUAAUUAUUACCCAUAUAAUUAAUUUGUUCGUUCUUUGUGUCAGGACCGUAGGGUAAACAUCUGGAUUCCUUAUUCCCCCUCCAUUCGUAUCGCAUUACAUCACCAGAUGUACCUACGUAGAAACAUAUAAACCAUCAAU